ACAUCGGGAGACGCUGACAUUUUUGUCAGGGCCGAAGGAGCAACCGCCUCGGAAACUCUCAGGCACAACGGACCGUUG
rnacentral:ncRNA from 1 species